AGUGAACGCUGGCGGUAGGCCUAACACAUGCAAGUCGAACGGCAGCACAGUAAGAGCUUGCUCUUACGGGUGGCGAGUGGCGGACGGGUGAGGAAUACAUCGGAAUCUACUUUUUCGUGGGGGAUAACGUAGGGAAACUUACGCUAAUACCGCAUACGACCUACGGGUGAAAGCAGGGGAUCUUCGGACCUUGCGCGAUUGAAUGAGCCGAUGUCGGAUUAGCUAGUUGGCGGGGUAAAGGCCCACCAAGGCGACGAUCCGUAGCUGGUCUGAGAGGAUGAUCAGCCACAAUGGAAAUGAGACACGGUCCCGACUCCUAAGGGAGGCAGCAGGGGGGAAUAUUGGGCAAUGGGCGCAAGCCUGAUCCAGCCAUACCGCGUGGGUGAAGAAGGCCUUCGGGUUGUAAAGCCCUUUUGUUGGGAAAGAAAAGCAGCAGGUUAAUACCCCGCUGUUCUGACGGUACCCAAAGAAUAAGCACCGGCUAACUUCGUG
rnacentral:rRNA from 1 species